rnacentral:rRNA from 1 species
AUUGAACGCUGGCGGCAGGCCUAACACAUGCAAGUCGAACGGUAACAGGAAACAGCUUGCUGUUUCGCUGACGAGUGGCGGACGGGUGAGUAAUGUCUGGGAAACUGCCUGAUGGAGGGGGAUAACUACUGGAAACGGUAGCUAAUACCGCAUAACGUCGCAAGACCAAAGAGGGGGACCUUCGGGCCUCUUGCCAUCGGAUGUGCCCAGAUGGGAUUAGCUAGUAGGUGGGGUAACGGCUCACCUAGGCGACGAUCCCUAGCUGGUCUGAGAGGAUGACCGGCCACACGGGAACUGAGACACGGUCCAGACUCCUACGGGAGGCAGCAGUGGGGAAUAUUGCACAAUGGGCGCAAGCCUGAUGCAGCCAUGCCGCGUGUAUGAAGAAGGCCUUCGGGUUGUAAAGUACUUUCAGCGGGGAGGAAGGGAGUAAAGUUAAUACCUUUACUCAUUGACGUUACCCGCAGAAGAAGCACCGGCUAACUCCGUG